rnacentral:lncRNA from 1 species
UCUGUUCAGGUCUCGACCCAGACUUCUUUUCCAUCUCUAAUUUUUAUAUGGAUCUUCUUUCAUAUCUCUUCACAAGUGGUUGGUCUAUAAAGAGAUGCUUCCUACAAAUGAAAUAAACAUAGUGCCACAAGUGUAUUAAACAAUUUACUACCAUCUAAAUGUAUAAAUAAUUACCAAUUUCCUCUUCAUUAGCUCAAUAGACACCCAAUUACCCGUGAGCAAUGAGCCACCCUUCUUGGACUUUUGAGCUGCCUUUGUCUGGGCGCUCUUUUUUUGAAACAUCUGAAUUAAGUAUCAUGUGUGCGGAAGAACAAC